rnacentral:lncRNA from 10 species
CUAGAAGAAGAAUAUCAAGAUUUGAUGGUUCUUGGAAGAGCUAUAUAAUUUUAAGGGAAAAAGAAACUAACUCCAGUUGAAGUACUGAAGAAAAAUUUCUGGAGAAGGUGACAUUUGAAUUGAACUAUGAACAGCCAGUAGACAACAUAAAGAAAAAGAGCAUUUUGAGGUCCAGGGAAGUACGUGAACAAAUAAUAAACCAAGACAAUAUUAUGGAGGUAGGAAAUGGCAUAUCGUGCUUGGGAAACAGUAAGUAGUCUUGACUCUAAUGGCAAUUUCUAUGUGUUUUCUUCAAUUUAAUUUUUUUCCUCUCAAGGAAUAAAUGAAUGCAGAUUUCACAGAAAGUUUAUUUAUGUACCAUGUUAUCUUAUUUAGCAAUGGCAAUUUUCCGAAGAAGGUAAAUAUUUAUGAAGUUGUAGUUCACUGUAGAUAAAAGACAAAACUUGUUCUAAGAAACAUUCAGUGUAAGAAUUAUAGUGGUGAUUUAAAAAACCAUUGGCUGCAAUGCUUGAUAACAUUCGAUGUAAUUAUCAAAAAGGUUACUGAGUCAGCAGAAGACACUGCGAAUCAGUAAAAGCCUAGAAUUGGAAAUGGCUCGGAACUGAUAAAUACAGUUCAGGGAAUAGAAGAAAAAGUAAACAUCUCCAUGCAAAUCAACAGAUAACAGUGCCUUUCUUAUACAGUUAAAUGUGAAAGUUGCCAUAUUUAAUUCUCCAGUUGAGUUCAUUAUGCAGAAAAGUAGUUAAUGUGACAAGUAGCCUGGGUUUCCAAGCCUGUGUGAUUGCCUGAUGCUAAGAAAAUAUC